rnacentral:tRNA from 1 species
AGUAGAAUGUCUGAGAUAAUUGAUAGGUAAUAAAUUGUAAAUUUAUUUAGGAGUUUAAUACUCUUCUACUA